rnacentral:lncRNA from 1 species
UCUGGCCCCAAAACUCAUUUCAGCUGGGUUAAGAUAUCCCCUUCUGCACUUCCCAUCCCAAACUGGCACCAGGGGUGCAGUCACAGCUGCUUCCCGCCCCCCCCAGGGGCCACAGGUGAAGGGACGGGCAUGAGUGCUCCAUGCAUAACCUGCUCUGGAGCCCUUCGAGGCAGGCCGUGCUUCUGGACACUCAUAUCAGCCUAGCCCGAGGGUGUCUGGGUGCUGACAAACGCUUCCGCUCCUGGAGGCAUCGCACCACUGAGCACAUAGCGAGAGCCAAGCCCCACGGGUGGAGCAAGCAGCGCAGCCUGUUACACACAUUUGUGGAAAAGGUCUCAGAGCAGCUGGUACAGCUGCAUGAGUUGAGCCUCAUCCAACCCCCUGUCUCGCAGGAGGAAACUGGC